rnacentral:rRNA from 1 species
UUAUCCGGAAUUACUGGGUGUAAAGGGAGCGCAGGCGGGAUAGCAAGUCAGCUGUGAAAACUAUGGGCUCAACCCAUAAAUUGCAGUUGAAACUGUUAUUCUUGAGUGGAGUAGAGGCAAGCGGAAUUCCGAGUGUAGCGGUGAAAUGCGUAGAUAUUCGGAGGAACACCAGUGGCGAAGGCGGCUUGCUGGGCUCUAACUGACGCUGAGGCUCGAAAGUGUGGGGAGCAAACAGGAUUAGAUACCCUGGUAGUCCACACUGUAAACGAUGAUUGCUAGGUGUGGGGGGUCUGACCCCCUUCCGUGCCGGAGUUAACGCAAUAAGCAAUCCACCUGGGGAGUACGGCCGCAAGGUUGAAACUCAAAGGAAUUGACCGGGACCCGCACAAGCAGUGGAUUAUGUGGUUUAA